AGCUCCGAGGUGUUUCCACAUAUUAGAUUGCAAAUCUUAAGUAGCAGGCUAACCCCUGCCGGGGCUU
rnacentral:tRNA from 1 species